rnacentral:rRNA from 1 species
UGGGGAAUAUUGCACAAUGGGCGAAAGCCUGAUGCAGCAACGCCGCGUGAGUGAUGAAGGUCUUCGGAUUGUAAAGCUCUGUCUUUUGGGACGAUAAUGACGGUACCAAAGGAGGAAGCCACGGCUAACUACGUGCCAGCAACCGCGGUAAUACGUAGGUGGCGAGCGUUGUCCGGAUUUACUGGGCGUAAAGGGUGCGUAGGCGGAUGUUUAAGUGAGAUGUGAAAUACCCGGGCUUAACUUGGGUGCUGCAUUUCAAACUGGAUAUCUAGAGUGCAGGAGAGGAGAAUGGAAUUCCUAGUGUAGCGGUGAAAUGCGUAGAGAUUAGGAAGAACACCAGUGGCGAAGGCGAUUCUCUGGACUGUAACUGACGCUGAGGCACGAAAGCGUGGGUAGCAAACAGGAUUAGAUACCCUGGUAGUCCACGCCGUAAACGAUGAGUACUAGGUGUAGGAGGUAUCGACCCCUUCUGUGCCGCAGUAAACACAUUAAGUACUCCGCCUGGGAAGUACGAUCGCAAGAUUA